rnacentral:rRNA from 1 species
UACGUAGGGUGCGAGCGUUGUCCGGAAUUAUUGGGCGUAAAGGGCUCGUAGGCGGUCUGUCGCGUCGGGCGUGAAAACUCAGGGCUUAACCCUGAGCCUGCUCCCGAUACGGGCAGACUAGAGGUAUGCAGGGGAGAACGGAAUUCCUGGUGUAGCGGUGAAAUGCGCAGAUAUCAGGAGGAACACCGGUGGCGAAGGCGGUUCUCUGGGCAUUACCUGACGCUGAGGAGCGAAAGUGUGGGGAGCGAACAGG